AGUGGCGGACGGGUGAGUAACGCGUGGGUAACCUGCCUCACACUGGGGGACAACAGUUAGAAAUGACUGCUAAUACCGCAUAAGCGCACAGGACCGCAUGGUCCGGUGUGAAAAACUCCGGUGGUGUGAGAUGGACCCGCGUUUGAUUAGCUAGUUGGUGGGGUAACGGCCUACCAAGGCGACGAUCAAUAGCCGACCUGAGAGGGCGGACGGCCACAUUGGGACUGAGACACGGCCCAAACUCCUACGGGAGGCAGCAGUAGGGAAUUUUCGUCAAUGGGGGGAACCCUGAACGAGCAAUGCCGCGUGAGUGAGGAAGGUCUUCGGAUCGUAAAGCUCUGUUGUAAGAGAAAAACGAUAUUCAUAGGGAAUGAUGAGUGAGUGAUGGUAUCUUACCAGAAAGUCACGGCUAACUACGUGCCAGCAGCCGCGGUAAUACGUAGGUGGCGAGCGUUAUCCGGAAUGAUUGGGCGUAAAGGGUGCGUAGGUGGCAGAACAAGUCUGGAGUAAAAGGUAUGGGCUCAACCCGUACUGGCUCUGGAAACUGUUCAGCUAGAGAACAGAAGAGGACGGCGGAACUCCAUGUGUAGCGGUAAGAUGCGUAGAUAUAUGGAAGAACACCGGUGGCGAAGGCGGCCGUCUGGUCUGUUGCUGACACUGAAGCACGAAAGCGUGGGGAGCAAAUAGGAUUAGAUACCCUAGUAGUCCACGCCGUAAACGAUGGACGCUAGGUGUGGGGGGACCAUCCCCCCGUGCCGCAGCCAACGCAUUAAGCGUCCCGCCUGGGGAGUACGGCCGCAAGGCUAAAACUCAAAGGAAUUGACGGGGACCCGCACAAGCGGUGGAGCAUGUGGUUUAAUUCGAAGCAACGCGAAGAACCUUACCAAAUCUUGACAUCGAUCUGACCGGACCGUAAUGGGUCCUUUCCCUUCGGGGACAGAGAAGACAGGUGGUGCAUGGUUGUCGUCAGCUCGUGUCGUGAGAUGUUGGGUUAAGUCCCGCAACGAGCGCAACCCUUAUCUUUAGUAGCCAGCGGUUUGGCCGGGCACUCUAGAGAGACUGCCAGGGAUAACCUGGAGGAAGGCGGGGAUGACGUCAAAUCAUCAUGCCCCUUAUGACUUGGGCUACACACGUGCUACAAUGGCGUAAACAAAGGGAAGCAAAGCUGUGAAGCCGAGCAAAUCUCAAAAAUAACGUCUCAGUUCGGACUGUAGUCUGCAACCCGACUACACGAAGCUGGAAUCGCUAGUAAUCGCAGAUCAGAAUGCUGCGGUGAAUACGUUCCCGGGUCUUGUACACACCGCCCGUCAA
rnacentral:rRNA from 1 species